rnacentral:lncRNA from 1 species
CAAGGAUCUUCUUCAGACCUGCUCUCUUAACUUUCUCGCUUGCUUUCGUCGUAUCUUGAUCAUACUUGAUGAAGGCACUCUUUGAUAUGUAGGUCAUUUGCUCCAAAUGAUCAUGGAAGUCUGGUAUCUCUUUGUUCAAAUUUUCAUAAAGUGUCAUGAACAACGUCAGCAAACCUGAACAGUUUUGCUCAUGCUCGCCAAACAUCCUGAGACUAGCGAUAACACAGAUCAAAUACCUCCACCAAAGGGGGGCCUCUUUUUCUUCGUUGCCUCGCUUUAUGAGACAACUCAUAGUCGCCUUGUGAUCCAUUGCGAAGAUGUGUCGUAUCAAUUGCUGAUUAAUAAAGAUCGACUUAAAGUUGAGGGUCGAGUCUGACCAGGUAAGAGUCAAGCCCAUGACAUCGAGGAUGGACGCUGCUCCACCCGAGAGUAAAUUGAGGCCCAGUAGUCCUAUCUUGUGUAGUUCUUGAGGAUCUUGGCGAUUGCCCUGAUGAAC